UACAGAGGUCUCAAGCGUUGUUCGGAUUCAUUGGGCGUAAAGGGUGCGUAGGCGGUCGCGUAAGUCGGGUGUGAAAUCCCGAGGCUCAACCUCGGAACUGCACUCGAUACUGCGUGACUAGGGUGCUGGAGAGGAGACCGGAAUUUACGGUGUAGCAGUGAAAUGCGUAGAUAUCGUAAGGAAGACCAGUGGCGAAGGCGAGUCUCUGGACAGCUACCGACGCUGAGGCACGAAGGCCAGGGGAGCAAACGGG
rnacentral:rRNA from 1 species